rnacentral:rRNA from 1 species
GACGAACGCUGGCGGCGUGCUUAACACAUGCAAGUCGAACGGAAAGGCCCUGCUUUUGUGGGGUGCUCGAGUGGCGAACGGGUGAGUAACACGUGAGUAACCUGCCCUUGACUUUGGGAUAACUUCAGGAAACUGGGGCUAAUACCGGAUAGGAGCUCCUGCUGCAUGGUGGGGGUUGGAAAGUUUCGGCGGUUGGGGAUGGACUCGCGGCUUAUCAGCUUGUUGGUGGGGUAGUGGCUUACCAAGGCUUUGACGGGUAGCCGGCCUGAGAGGGUGACCGGCCACAUUGGGACUGAGAUACGGCCCAGACUCCUACGGGAGGCAGCAGUGGGGAAUAUUGCACAAUGGGCGGAAGCCUGAUGCAGCAACGCCGCGUGCGGGAUGACGGCCUUCGGGUUGUAAACCGCUUUCGCCUGUGACGAAGCGUGAGUGACGGUAAUGGGUAAAGAAGCACCGGCUAUCUACGUG